rnacentral:rRNA from 1 species
UGCCAGCAGCCGCGGUAAUACGUAGGGACCAAGCGUUGUCCGGAAUUACUGGGCGUAAAGCGCACGUAGGCGGAUUGGAAAGUUGGGGGUGAAAUCCCGGGGCUCAACCCCGGAACUGCCUCCAAAACUAUCAGUCUAGAGUUCGAGAGAGGUGAGUGGAACUCCGAGUGUAGAGGUGAAAUUCGUAGAUAUUCGGAAGAACACCAGUGGCGAAGGCGGCUCACUGGCUCGAUACUGACGCUGAGGUGCGAAAGCGUGGGGAGCAAACAGGAUUAGAUA